rnacentral:tRNA from 1 species
AGCUCAGUUGGAUAGAGCAACGGACUUCUAAUCCGUAGGUCGUGGGUUCGAAUCCCUCC